rnacentral:misc_RNA from 1 species
UCUCCGUAGGUGAACCUGCGGAAGGAUCAUUCCUAAUAUGUGUUUUAUGGCACUUUUUGAAAUCCAUAUCCAAAUCGUGUGCAAUGCCGGGGUUGAUUAUUCCCCCGAGAGGAUCAGCCCCAAACAUCAACUAUAUCUCAACUCAUUCUCUGAAAAAUAUUAUGAUUAAAACAAUUCAAGAUACAACUUUCAACAACCUAUCUCUUACCUCUCGCUUCGAUGAAGAAUGCAGCAGAACGGAAGAACACACGAAUGACCUCCAGUCACAUCGUACGAACC